UGGGAUUGGGCGAAUUUUGGU
rnacentral:miRNA from 1 species